GACAGAGGGUGCAAACGUUGUUCGGAAUUACUGGGCGUAAAGCGCGUGUAGGCGGCUAAGUAAGUCGGGCGUGAAAUCCCUCGGCUCAACCGAGGACGUGCAUUCGAAACCGCGCGGCUCGAGUCCCGGAGAGGGUGGUGGAAUUCUCGGCGUAGAGGUGAAAUUCGUAGAUAUCGGGAGGAACACCGGCGGCGAAAGCGGCCACCUGGACGAGGACUGACGCUGAGAUGCGAAAGCGUGGGGAGCAAACAGG
rnacentral:rRNA from 1 species